rnacentral:rRNA from 1 species
UACGUAGGGGGCAAGCGUUGUCCGGAUUUAUUGGGCGUAAAGAGCGUGUAGGCGGCCAGGUAGGUGGGUUGUGAAAACUGGAGGCUCAACCUUCAGACGUCGACCCAAACCCCCUGGCUAGAGUCCGGAAGAGGAGAGUGGAAUUCCUGGUGUAGCGGUGAAAUGCGCAGAUAUCAGGAGGAACACCGAUGGCGAAGGCAGGUCUCUGGGCCACUACUGACGCUGAGGAAGCGAAAGCGUGGGUAGCAAACAGG